CGCCCACAAAACACAAAUGUCCGAUCGCGAUCGUUUGAUAACGGUACAUAGCUGUUUGAUAUUGAAUAUACAAGGUCCCGUGCACUUGUAAAUAUUUAUUGCCAGCGUUUCAGAACAUGGUGAGCACCUUGUACAGAUUGUCCGAGCUGAGAGAUUCCAGUUUUGGGCAGCCAGAUCCCAGACACGGUCUCAGAUUGCUAUGGUGGUUUGCAAACGAAUGUGUUCGGAUUGACUUCAAUGGCCGUAUACAUGCACUGUGUGACCCUACGAAAGGAGAUUUCGGUUUUCAUCGAUUUCGUAAUGGAGAUCGACUUCUUCCCCACACUAACCAUCCAUACUAUAAGACAGGCAACCUGAACCAUCCUGACCAUUCACUGCCUUAUUAUGUCACUGAAAAUUACACAGGAUAUUUAGAUGACAGCAACACCGAUCGCAUCAUUGUUUCCCUUUUAACAGAUUGGAAUGGACACAUCUGGUUUCAUGAAAUUUACGUGACUCAGCACUCAGAUCAGAGGCAUUUUGACAAGAGUCAUACAUAUCGCAUCAGUCCAGGUCUCAUGAAGGCCAUUCAAAACCUGACACUAGCUAAAUUCCUGAGACAAAUGGAGAAUGACCAGAAUCAAAUUUAUUACAAUCAACAAUGCCUAAAGUUACAAUAUAAUCCACCACCAGCUCGACCAAUACAGAAUCCAACCUAUAAUCAGCAAAGGUCAGGCCUAUCUAUGAAAGAAAUUUGUGAAAAAUUCUGCACCGUGCUAGCCGUAAUUGCACUACUGUUACUUUUUUGUAUUUCCGUACAUUUCGCAAAGUAAAAAUUAAUUGCUUUCAUAGCCAAUUUUUGGCUAACAAGUGGCCCAAAUGGGUUUGAUAUGGUCGCAAUGCUUAAUGCAAAUGCUAAGAUGCAUUAUGUAAAUAUGCAUACACUGAAAAAAAAUAUUAAUUUAAUUUACUCAAUUUUUUUAAGGUAAUUGGUCGCAAUCAAUUUAUUUAAGCUACAUUUAAUCAAAAACAAAAAAAUAAAUAAAAACAAAACAAAAAAACUUUUCUUCAAAUGUACCUUAAAUAAAUUGCUUGCAACAGUAAAUGAAUCUUUUUUUUUUCAGUGUAUUUAGGAUAGCAGUCAGGUAGUGUUUCAUUCUCUUUCACAGCCAUCAAGCAACACCGAAGAGUUUUUUUUACCUUAAAAUAAUGUUUCCAAAAAAGUUUCAGUCGUUCAUCCACUCAAAACGGCACUUUCACAUUCGCUUUCAGCCCUCUAUCGGCCAAAACCGCAUUAAAGAAGUUUCCAACCGUCGGGUCGCGGUCCUGUAGUCCGAGUGAAAACUACAAAAACUUGAAUUACAAAGCCAGCUUUGCUGCAGUAGGCUAAAUUAUUUACGACAGUGGUAAUGGACAAUUCCGCUUCCAACCUGUAGGGAGAGCAAAGAGCAAAAACUCUUUAGUAUUGCUUAAAAUACACUAAAUGAAACUGCACAGCUCAGUUCGGUCAGCUUGAACCUAAACAUGGCUUGAAACGGCAGUAUUGGUUCGCUCAUGACUAUAAAGACGUCAUGGACGGGUAUAUUGUACCUAAAAUCAAUCCUAAAACUGGAGUCUUCGGCUUUCACAAGUUUAAUAACAGGAUUAAAGAUGAUGAACACAUUUUGCCUGUUCAGUGUCAACGUUGAAUGCUCACAGUGCAGAAAAACUACCAGGUUAUAUUGGAUUAUUCUAUGGCCUGGAUAACUCUGGCUUUUGAACAGGAUUUAUGUGAUUGAACACAGUUAUAUAACACAAUAGCAAUCGUGUCAGUCAGAGACUCUUGCAGAUCAUCAAGAACAUGAAUCCAGAACAAAACCUGCUCCUGUCAAAGUCUUCACACUUUCAUAUACGUGUCAAUUAAUAAUAAUACAGCUUAUAUAUGAUAACAAAUUUGUUUAUUUUUUAUAUGUUUUUUUAUAUUGUGAUUUUAUACUGUAUUGUCUGACAUACACUAUACAUGCAUGUGUGAAGUAAUAAAUUUGAAAUAAAUGCCGGUCCCUGGUUUUCUUCCUUAUUUGCCAGCAUUUUUUGGUGAGGUCAUUUGUUAACCUGUGCUUGAUUAUUUCUCUUAUAGUGUGUGCAUAAAUAACAUUUACGUUUUAGUGUUAAAUGUUGGUUGUCCAAACGAAGUCAUUAGCAAAAGUUUCGAUAUAUUUAUGGUAGGAAAUGUACUAAAACCAUUAUUUAUCAUGAUCUUUACACAAUAUCCUAACGAUUUUUGAUUACAUUUGAUAGAAGAAUUAAAAUACAAAUACAAUGCUGAGUUGAAAACAAUAAAAUGGUAAAAAUAAAAUGUAAUUGUAUUACCUUUGAUUGGACCUUCAUCUGGUUAUUUUAUUUUGUUGGUAUCUGUCCAUUUGUUCUCAUGGUUUUCUGAUAAUGGUCACGUGACAUUAAGAUCAAACAAAUUAAAACCUAUUUUUAGUUAAUGUUUUAUUUACAUUUUUAUUUUUAAAUUAUUUAUUUGCAUUUUUGAUCAACCCAAUAACACCUUGCAAUCCCAACCCCUAGUUUGGUACACCCAUAAGUAAACUGAAGAAAUUGAGAAAGUGUGCCAUCUGAUCUCACAUGCCUUGUUCAAGCUAAAUCAUCAUUAUUGUUUUAUAAUAAAAUCACAUAUUGUAAAAAAAAAAAGAAAAACAACUUGGUUUUGCAAGUCAAUUCAACAUACUAUUUUAAGUUGUGGCUUUAAAAAGUUGACCUAACUUAUAAAUUCAAGUUGAAAUUGUUUAACUUAAUUUUUUAAGUUAAAGUAACAUAAAAUAUAUGUUGAUUUGACAAAAAUGCUGCAUAUAUUUUUACAGUGUAUAACAAAGUAAAGAUAUGUACCCCCUUUUUUUUACAGGAACAGAUACGUUUUAAUGAAUUUUAUGAACGUUUAAAUAGUCUGGAUAGUUUAUUGCUUUAUAAUAAGAGAGUGCAGUCUCUUUUUUUCAGAUCUGCAAUUACAUUGAUUGAGUUUUUUUCUAUUUAUCACAUUUAUGUCUCUGUUGUUAUACAGAAAUAAACUUUCUUACAUUUGUUUCUCUGGAAUGAUCAGUGAAAAAACAGAUUGGCCUUUUCAAGGGUUAGCAAGUCAAAUCAGCUUACCAAUACAAAUCAAUUCAAAUUUUUCAUUGUUGCACAGCACCUCUACAGCACCUCUAUAUUCUAGUACAAACACUACAGACAUACUGUAAGAGGAAAAAGUAAGAAAUAAUACAAAUAUGUAUAUUUAUUUUAAUCAAUAACACAAAAAGUUACAUUAGCCUAUUGCUCAUCAUCAGUUUGGCCAAUACAGAAUAUGAUAUACUGUCGGAAAUGUAUGAUAUAUCUUCAUGGAACAUGAUCUUCACUUAAUAUCCUUCACUGUAAAAAUGUCUGGGUUAUUUUUGACCUAUAAUGGGUAAAUAUUGGACAGAACACACUGCUGGGUUCAAAUUUAGCCAAUGCUGGUUUGUUUUAAACCAACUGUUGGGUUAUUAUACCCCAUAGUCGCAUAACAACAACCCAACAUUGGUUCAUUUUUAACCCAGCAUAUGUUCUGUCUAAUAUUUUCCCAUUAUGGUUAAAAAAUAGCCCAGCCAUUUAUAGAGUGUAGUGAUUUUUAGCAUACAAGUUAUUAUUUUUUUAAUUUACCCCCUUCUGUUUAUCAGUUUCCUUUAUUUAAAUACAAGGAAUUUAAUAGAGUGGACCUGUGAGUUUGUGAAUAUUUCGCAAACUACUUCCUUGAAGCAACGAACAGCAUAAGUUUCUGUUUCCAAGUAAAAACAUCACACACAAAAACACAAACCAGAAAGUGUCAGGGGAUAACCAGACCAUGUUUUCAUUCAUCCUUAUUACACACACAGAAUGUUCUUAUUACACAAUUAAACGCAAUUUUAAAAAGUGGCCUUCAAACACUUCAAAAUGAGCUUUUUUUCAUUCUACUGACAAAAUCAAAACAGAAACCAGAAUUAAACAAAGCAGUCACGCGAGGGAGGGUGGUUUAUUUAAAACUAGUAUGACCAGAUGCCUUUUGGGUUUGUAUAUGUUAAGACCAUUCGUGUUGUUCUCAUCUCUCAUUUGACAAUUCUUCACUAUUGUUCAUCACCUCAUUUCAGUUUUCCAGCUCUAUACUGUCAUAAGUGUUCAUCUGUGUGACCUAUCUGAUCUGUCUUGUACGUGGUUUUAAUAAGAGUUUCCGGGAACAUGCCAGAGACCCUGAACAAUUUGUCCGAGCUGAAAGAUUCCAAGUUUGGGCAGCCAGAUCCCAGACACGGCCUCAGAUUAUUAUGGUGGUUUGCCAAUGAAUAUGUUCACAUUGACUCCAGUGGUCUACGUGCCCUGCAUGACCCAGCGAAUGGACGUUUUGGCUUCCAUUAUUUUAGGAAUAAGGAGAAAAUUCUUCCUAUUAACCGUAAAUACUAUGAGACAGGCAACCUCAGCAAGACUUCAGAUGCACUGCCUUAUUAUGUCACUGAAAAUUACACAGGAUAUUCAGAUGCCAGCAACUCAGAUCGCCUCAUUGUUUCUGUAGGUACACAAUUGAAUUUUAAAGUCUGGUUAAAUGAUGUUUAUGUGACUCAGCAUUUAAACAACAGUCUGAAGUUUGACCAGAAUCGCACCUAUCGCAUCAGUUUAGAUCUUAUAAAGGACAUUAAAAACUUAAACCGAGCAGAAUUCCUCAGACAAAUGAAGAUUGAUCGAAAUUCUGUCUCAAUUCAGAUUGAAGCCCUUGAGGAGCAAAGAUCAGUCACACAUACAGAGAAUAACUGUGGUUGUAAAAUAUGCUGUGCUGUGUUGUUUGGGCUUUUUCUUGUUUUGCUUUUUAUUGCACUGCUGUAUUUUUGUAUCAAUUUUUUAGUCUCUAAGUAGACUUGUCUCUCUGUCUCUGUCUCUCUCUCUCUCUCUCUCUCUCUCUCUCUCUCUCUCUCUCUCUCUCUGUCUCUGUCUCUCUCUCUCUCUCUUGUCACUUUAAAAGUUUUUCUAGAUGAGAUCUCUACACAAAUAUUGAAAACAUUUAAAACCUCUGGGUCUCAGAUAUUUUACCUAAGGAAAUAAGCCAAAAAUCUCACUGUAAUGAUUUAUUGAGUUUCUCAGAGAUCUUAACAAUUAAACCAAGCUCAGAUUUUAACUUAUCCUUAUUUUGUUUUGUUUGUUGUUUUCUGUAA